CCUACGGGAGGCAGCAGUAGGGAAUAUUGCUCAAUGGGGGAAACCCUGAAGCAGCAACGCCGCGUGGAGGAUGAAGGUUUUAGGAGUGUAAACUCCUUUUGAUAGAGAAGAGGAGGACGGUAUGUAACGAAUAAGCACCGGCUAACUCCGUGCCAGCAGCCGCGGUAAUACGGAGGGUGCAAGCGUUACUCGGAACCACUGGGCGUAAAGAGGGCGUAGGCGGGGUAAUAAGUCAGAUGUGAAAUCCUGUAGCUUAACGACAGAACUGCAUUUGAAACUGUUACUCUGGAGUGUGGGAGAGGUAGGUGGAAUUCUUGGUGUAGCGGUCAAAUCCGUAGAGAUCACGAGGAAUACUCAUUGCGAAGGCGACCUGCUGGACCAUUACUGACGCUGAUGCACGAAAGCGUGGGGAGCAAACAGGAUUAGAUACCCUUGUAGUC
rnacentral:rRNA from 1 species